AUUGAACGCUGGCGGCAGGCCUAACACAUGCAAGUCGAACGAGUGGCGGACGGGUGAGUAAUGUCUGGGAAACUGCCUGAUGGAGGGGGAUAACUACUGGAAACGGUAGCUAAUACCGCAUACCAUCAGAUGUGCCCAGAUGGGAUUAGCUUGUUGGUGGGGUAACGGCUCACCAAGGCGACGAUCCCUAGCUGGUCGGAGAGGAUGACCAGCCACGCGGGAAGUGAGACAAGGCCCAGAUCCCAACGGUAGGAAGCAGUGGGGAAUAUUGACAAAUGGGCGCAAGCCGGAUGCAGCCAGGCCGCGGUUAUGAAGAAGGCCUCCGGUUUGUAAAGUACUUUAAGCGGGGAGGCGUUACCCGCAGAAGAAGCACCGGCUAACUCCGUGCCAGCAGCCGCGGUAAAC
rnacentral:rRNA from 1 species